rnacentral:rRNA from 1 species
AUCUUCGGCAAUGGGCGAAAGCCUGACCGAGCAACGCCGCGUGAGCGAUGAAGGCCUUCGGGUCGUAAAGCUCUGUUGUUAGAGAAGAACAAGUACGAGAGUAACUGCUCGUACCUUGACGGUACCUAACCAGAAAGCCACGGCUAACUACGUGCCAGCAGCCGCGGUAAUACGUAGGUGGCAAGCGUUAUCCGGAAUUAUUGGGCGUAAAGCGCGCGCAGGCGGUCUCUUAAGUCUGAUGUGAAAGCCCACGGCUCAACCGUGGAGGGUCAUUGGAAACUGGGAGACUUGAGUGCAGGAGAGAAAAGUGGAAUUCCACGUGUAGCGGUGAAAUGCGUAGAGAUGUGGAGGAACACCAGUGGCGAAGGCGGCUUUUUGGCCUGUAACUGACGCUGAGGCGCGAAAGCGUGGGGAGCAAACAGGAUUAGAUACCCUGGUAGUCCACGCCGUAAACGAUGAGUGCUAGGUGUUGGGGGGUUCCACCCUCAGUGCUGAAGUUAACACAUUAAGCACUCCGCCUGGGGAGUACGACCGCAAGGUUGAAACUCAAAGGAAUUGACGGGGGCCCGCACAAGCAGUGGAGCAUGUGGUUUAAUUCGAAGCAACGCGAAGAACCUUACCAGGUCUUGACAUCCUUUGACCACUCUAGAGAUAGAGCUUUCCCCUUCGGGGGACAAAGUGACAGGUGGUGCAUGGUUGUCGUCAGCUCGUGUCGUGAGAUGUUGGGUUAAGUCCCGCAACGAGCGCAACCCUUGACCUUAGUUGCCAGCAUUCAGUUGGGCACUCUAAGGUGACUGCCGGUGACAAACCGGAGGAAGGUGGGGACGACGUCAAAUCAUCAUGCCCCUUAUGACCUGGGCUACACACGUGCUACAAUGGAUGAUACAAAGGGUUGCGAAGCCGCGAGGCCAAGCCAAUCCCAAAAAGUCAUUCUCAGUUCGGAUUGUAGGCUGCAACUCGCCUACAUGAAGCCGGAAUUGCUAGUAAUCGCGGAUCAGCAUGCCGCGGUGAAUACGUUCCCGGGCCUUGUACACACCGCCCGUCACACCACGAGAGUUUGUAACACCCGAAGUCGGU